rnacentral:lncRNA from 12 species
CACUGCUGCUUCAGCCUGGGACCUAGAAUAAAGAGACCUGAGCCCCAUCCACAGCUUAGAGCCAAGCCAGACCACUAGAAGCAGAGUGAACCACCCCAGAGAACUGUCCCUUCUUCUGG